UACGUAGGGGCGAGCGUUAUCCGGAAUUAUUGGGCGUAAAGAGUACGUAGGUGGUUUGGAAAGCGUGUGGUGAAAUUGCGGGGCUUAACCCCGUCCAGCCAUGCGAACUUUCAGACUUGAGUGCAGGAGAGGGAAGUGGAAUUCCUAGUGUAGCGGUGAAAUGCGUAGAUAUUAGGAGGAACAUCAGUGGCGAAGGCGACUUCCUGGACUGUAACUGACACUGAGGUACGAAAGCGUGGGUAGCAAACAGGAUUAGAUACCACGGUAGUCCCUGAGCGGG
rnacentral:rRNA from 1 species